AUCCUCCUUUUCCUCCUCCUCCUCCAGGCACGGCCCCGCAGCUUUCCAGGCUGUGUUUUCCCUGUCCUGGGCUCAUCCCCAGCAGGAAGGGCAGCAAGACAAGGAAACGGGAUUCUGCCCCUCUGCCCUGCUCAGGGGUGUGCACAGGGGCGAUGAGACGGGACGUGAAGCACAGAGGCACUCGGGAAGCUCUGCCUUCUCUGGUAAAAGUCCUUUAUUAGAACGGCAAACAUGACACUUGUCGUCAGUACAGCGGCUGUGUGCAGCUACCAUCGCGCAACGGGGGGACGACGUCGUACAAUCACUGGGACUCUAAGAAGCACCAUGAACACCCUAAAGAACGGGGGAUGACGGCUGAGAGGAGCCCCGGGUGAGCCGGCCACGGGGGCUCCUCAGGGAUCCACCAAGGAGCUGCCCCGGCGUUGUCCCGCAACACGGCUCUCCGGCGGCUGGGAGGAACUCCCUGCUGGGAGUCAACGAGAUAGCACCCAUCCAAUAAAUUAGGAAAAACCUAA